GGUUCAUUCUUUCUGGAUUCUGGUGAAUCCAUUAUCUUGAAGUACCUACGUUAAAAAAUACCCAUUUUCAUCAUCAAUUAAAUGGCUUUAUCCGUAGGAAGACCAUCUCCAUGACCAGCUUUCUUUUCAAUUCUGAUGAUAAAAGGAUUUAUCUAUGGGGGUUUCCUACCUGAUUGGAGUGUUUCUUGGCAUUGUAUUGCAAGGUGGCAAUGAAUUUCAAUGAGUGGAAUGGUGGAACACGAUCAUCGUGAUCUGAAGUGGUAUCAAAAACAAGCGAGGAAAAUAAUGGGAAAUUUUAAAUUAACAUUUACCUGAAGAUCAAAUGAACAAUUCGACAGAUCGCAACGAUAAAUGAUCCCGGGUACUAGAUCUUUCCACGAACAGGGAUCUGGAUUUUUAAUGUCGAUUGUUAUUAAUUUGUACGUAAUUAUCUGCAUCUUUGUUAGUUCUGAAAGUGAAUAUUGUAUCGUCGUUGGCGAUGAACUGAAACAAUAUAAUUACAUAGGUAUUGCAGAAUUUCUCAUAAAGGCUACGAAAUCACUUCAGUUAACUCAAUUAUAAGUAAAUUACUCAAAUGAAAUGCAGGAAAAAAUGACCUAGCUGGAAUUUGGAAUUUUUGAAUCUCCGAAUGCUUAAAAUCUAAAAUAAUAUCGCUGUUUCAUGGAACCAAUCGAUCAUAAUUGGCAUCCUCACCAGUACAGUGUAAUACUAUACUUACGCUACUGACAAUACCACCAUUAUUCCCGCCUCCUCCGCCACAAUUGCCACCACCACCUUGAUCUGAAGCAGGAAAGCAUUUUGAAAAUUGGAUUAAAAUCCCCAAAAUGGCACACGCAACAUAUAAUUUCGGAAUCAUGACGAACAAAAUUAAUACCGAGAUGAGAAUUA